rnacentral:rRNA from 1 species
UACGAAGGUCCCGAGCGUUAUCCGGAUUUAUUGGGUUUAACGGGUGCGUAGGCGGGUUAUUAAGUCAGUGGUGAAAGCCUACAGCUUAACUGUAGAAUUGCCAUUGAUACUGAUGAUCUUGAGUAUGAUUGAGGUGGGCGGAAUGUGUCAUGUAGCGGUGAAAUGCUUAGAUAUGACACAGAACACCGAUUGCGAAGGCAGCUCACUAAGUCAUAACUGACGCUGAUGCACGAAAGCGUGGGGAGCAAACAGG